rnacentral:lncRNA from 1 species
UUAUUAGUUGGUACUUUAGUUUAGUGGUAGUUUAGUUUAGUUGGUCCUUUUUUGUUCUUUCUUUAUGUUUUCCUUUUUUAGUUUAGUUAGUUUAGUGGUACGUAGUUUAGUUUAGUUGGUAGUUUAGUUUAGUUUAGAAGGAGGAGGGGAAGAAGAAGAAGAAGAGGAGAAGAGGAAGAGGAGGAGAAGAUUAAGAGGAGGAGGAGGAGGAGAAGAGGAGAAGAAAGAGGAAAAAAAAGAAGGAAGAAGAAGAAGAAGAAGAAGAAGAAGAAGAAGAAGAAGAAGAAGAAGAAGGAGACAAAGGAUAAGGAGGAGGAGAAGGAGAAGAAGGAUUAGGAGCAGGAGAAGGAGAAGAAGAAGAAGGAGGGGGCGAAUAAUAAUAAUAAUAAUAGUAAUAAUAAUUAGAGGAAAAGGGCAAAUAAGGAAGAAGAAGAAAAAGAAGAAGAAGAAGAAGAAGAAGAAGAAGAAGAAGAAGANN